AAGUCGUAACAAGGUUUCCGUAGGUGAACCUGCGGAAGGAUCAUUAAUGAAUUCAUGACAAGGUUGUCGCUGGCCCCACACGGGCAUGUGCACGCCUUGCUCAUUCCAAUUCUUACACCUCUGUGCACUUUUCAUAGGUUGGUUUUGGCUGUCUUCGGAUGGCUUGACCUGCCUAUGCUUUUACAAACGCUUCAGUUAUAGAAUGUAUCUCGCGUAUAACGCAUUAUAUACAACUUUCAGCAACGGAUCUCUUGGCUCUC
rnacentral:misc_RNA from 1 species